rnacentral:rRNA from 1 species
GAUGAACGCUGGCGGCGUGCAUAACACAUUCAAGUCGAACGGUGACGACCUUCGGGUCUGAUCAGUGGCGGACGGGUGAGUAACGCGUGAGCAACCUGCCUUACAGUACGGGAUAACGUCCGGAAACAGACGCUAAUACCGUAUAAUGCAUGGAUAUCGCAUGAUGACCAUGCCAAAGAUUUAUUGCUGUAAGAUGGGCUCGCGUCUGAUUAGGUAGUUGGCGGGGGAACGGCCCACCAAGCCUACGAUCAGUAGCCGGACUUAGAGGUUGAACGGCCACAUUGGAACUGAGAAACGGUCCAGACUCCUACGGGAGGCAGCAGUGGGGAAUAUUGGGCAAUGGGCGAAAGCCUGACCCAGCGACGCCGCGUGAGGGAAGACGGUCUUCGGAUUGUAAACCUCUUUUAUGUGGGACGAAUAGAUGACGGUACCACAUGAAUAAGCCACGGCUAACUACGUGCCAGCCGCCGCAGUAAAAC